AUUAAAAGGGAUAUAUACUCAACAAAGAGGGUGUCCACAUCAGCAGAUUAAUUCGAACCAAUCAGAUUCUACCUAUAUGCCAUGUCAGCAUGACUUAAACUAUCCUUGCAAAUUUGUCGAUCCACAUCCCAGUUGACGAGGAGAUAUAAUUUCCUCCAUCGGACAUCAGACAAGCCCUUCAAGUUUUGUUCUUUGUGUUUCGCUCCUGUCUGUAGAAGAAAUGGGAAGCAAAUGGUGAAAAGCGAAGAUAGCUUUAGGUGAAAUCUGUGCCUUUACGUUCCCAAAACGCUCGAAGAAGAGUCAACAACAUCAAACGAGCCGUUUCGCUUUCUCCGGUAAUGGUUCCAAGGCCCACGACGCCGGUUCCUUCCUCCUCUGGUCUUCGAUUGCCUCGGUCCUUUAGCAAAUCCUCAUCAAAGUGCUUCUGAUGCACUGAAGCUCUCUAUUGAGAACAACAUGUAUCUUGGAGGUUUGUGGUGAUGUUGAACUUACCCUGUCAGUUUAGGAGAGAAUUGUCGAGCCUCAGACAAUUGUCUAAUUAGGUGUUCCCUACUGGACUGGUAGAAUGACAUGGUAAUGGAUUUUUUCCUCUUUGCCAAGGCUGAUUAAAAUUCAGUUUCAUUACAUAUUCUCAUAUAAUUGUUUUGUGAUCAUAUAUGUAUAUUCAACUUACCCAAUUCUUCUUUUUGUUUUCGUAAGUUAGAUUUUCUUUUAUUCAACUGAGACAUGUGUCUCACGAAAAUCAAAAGAGGUGGCUUGAGGUACUUCAGGUGAAAUAUAUUAAAAGAAAUCCUAUAAGUAGAAUUGAUUUAAAACCUUUUCAGCCAAACACUUCUUAGUAUGAGGAGGAGAGGGGCGGAUCUACUGCGUGGUCUGGAGGUGCUCUCUGGGAUUGUGGUCAUUCUCUUCAUCCUCAUUCUCACCAAGGCUGCUUAGACUGAAUCAAGGCCCUCCACUCAUGAGUGACAAUCACGCUUAACUGCAAGAUAUCUAAGGCUAAACCUAAAUCAGACUGAGCCAUGGAGAGCAAGGCAGACUCUUUCAGAAGAAGUUAGUAAAGGAAAGUGAAAACUGAAUAUCCCUUUGUUGUGGAGUUGACUAUUUUAGACGAAUAAUGAGAUUCUUGGGUUUGGUUUUGAAACAGGGAUUCUCUUGAGCUUGAGAAGAAGACACGACGGACCAUGAACGCUGUAUGGAAAAGACCACCGAUCGCUUAAAUCGCCAAAUUGUGAACUCCGAGAAGAAUUCUCAACGUGGAGAUCAAAGCUAGAGCAGCAACUGCAGCUGCUGAGGCGGAUUAAGGCUUAGUAAAAACCUUUACUUGCAAAACUAACUUAUAACUUUGUGAACCUGUUGAUGUAAGCCCCUGGAUUCGUUGCAAGUUAUGUAUGAAAACUCAGAUGAUGCUUUUUGCUUACGAAAGCCAUGGCAGGCCACCAGCACCCUGAAGCUAACGGUUCUCACCAGAGAGAAGAUGACUUUUCGUCACUGGUGGAAAGAGUAUGCAGAUUGCAGCCAAGGCCCUAUACCACAAGUUGUUCCUAAAAAUAAAUCGAAUAAGCAGCUAACUGAAACUCUUUUAGAAGCUUAUGUGUCUUCUACUCUAUAUGAAGUUGAAGAGGAGAGAGUUGGUGUACCUGUUAAGCGUCAGCUAUAUGAGGAACCAUAAUACUGUUGGUGGACUUGGUGAGGAGGCAUUGUUUCCUGUAUACUGGAAUGGAGAUAGUUGGCCUGUGCUGAGAGUCCAGAAACUGUUACCGAUCACUUGGAACUUCCAUAUUAUAACAAGGUCUGGCGCAGAAGAAGGGACAAACCCUCUGGGUUUUUUUGCAUCUCAUGCGGAUUUGAAGGUUCCAAGAAUAUGUGAGAACUAGGCCAAGAACUGAAGAGAUCGUAAGAGCUCAAAUCAAGGGUUUGCAGAGGCGCCAAAUUGUAAAUUGAGAUGUUAUCUUUUUUUUUUCCUUUUUUUUUUUGUAACAAAUGAGAUGUUAUCUUUUCUUUUGUUUUAGUAUAUCAUUUUGGUCUAUGAUUUUUAAAUCCAUGUACAUAAAUUCAACUUAAUUUGAACCCCUACCCCUCAUUAGUACGACUUUUACAAUGUUC